GUGGGGAAUCUUGCGCAAUGGGCGAAAGCCUGACGCAGCCAUGCCGCGUGAAUGAUGAAGGUCUUAGGAUUGUAAAAUUCUUUCAGCGGGGACGAUAAUGACGGUACCCGCAGAAGAAGCCCCGGCUAACUUCGUGCCAGCAGCCGCGGUAAUACGAAGGGGGCUAGCGUUGCUCGGAAUUACUGGGCGUAAAGGGCGCGUAGGCGGAUCGUUAAGUCAGAGGUGAAAGCCCAGGGCUCAACCCUGGAAUUGCCUUUGAUACUGGCGAUCUUGAGUACGGGAGAGGUGUGUGGAACUCCGAGUGUAGAGGUGAAAUUCGUAGAUAUUCGGAAGAACACCAGUGGCGAAGGCGACACACUGGCCCGUUACUGACGCUGAGGCGCGAAAGCGUGGGGAGCAAACAGG
rnacentral:rRNA from 1 species